GACGGGGGGGGCAAGUGUUCUUCGGAAUGACUGGGCGUAAAGGCACGUAGGCGGUGAUCGGGUUGAAAGUGAAAGUCGCCAAAAGUGGCGGAAUGCUCUCGAAACCAAUCACUUGAGUGAGACAGAGGAGAGUGGAAUUUCGUGUGUAGGGGUGAAAUCCGUAAAUAUACGAAGGAACGCCAAAAGCGAAGGCAGCUCUCUGGGUCCC
rnacentral:rRNA from 1 species